rnacentral:lncRNA from 1 species
CUUCGAUUUUGAACAUUGAAGUCAAGUGUAUAGUAAUUAUUGAGUUUGCAAAUUACAACAAAAGUUUCUAUUUUCACAAAAAAACUGUACUCUGUCUAAUACAAUAUCAGAUAUCGGGUAGAAAAUAAAAAAAAGAAGAAGAGAAAAGACAUAAAUUCAUCCUUGAAGUUGUAUCAAAAAGUCAGUUACACGCUUAAACUAUUGAGGCGACCUAUUACACACUUAUACUACUCAAAAGUGAAUUUAAUACCAC